AAGAUUCUUCGGGGUCGGGUGAAAGUCCCAACCGGCGGUAUAGUCCGCGACCCGGUAUGAUAUGUACCGGCUGAAUCGGUGUAAUUCCGAUACCGACAGUAAAGUCUGGAUGAGAGAAGAGUUAU
rfam:Dorea sp. CAG:105 genomic scaffold, scf156